UAUAAAUUUCCACUCGAUAAUUCCAUCUACAAGACCCUUAACUAUUAUUGAAUCGAGUGAGAUGCCAACAAAAUCUCGAUAUUUACCCAUAACCUAAACAUGGCAGUACCCUAUAUACUGUAUAUAUACAUGAACUUGUGGUUACAGCUCGACAACUGGCCUCUUUAGCUCAAUUGUUCGAGCGUUACACCAGAAUCGCAAGGCCGCAGGUACGAUUUCUAUCAGGAACCUAAAGUUGCACUUAUGGCAGCUGUUCCUGGU